AUGGGGGCCGCGCCGGGCUCGGGCUGGGAGGAGGGAGAGUUCGAGUUCAAGCUCGUGUUCGAGGAGGAUCCGCCGCGCCAGAGCCGCUGCGGCCCAGAAGACUCCGAGAGCGGCCAGACGCACCAAGAGCCAGCCGAUACCCACUUGACUUCCGCACAGGCUGGCCAACCCGUGGGUAUCCCACCGUCAGCCGGUCGCAGGGCUGGGAUGCAUUCCCCACCCCCCAGACGGGCAUUAGUCAGGGAGUUCAGUGAGACUUAUGAGAGUCUGCCAGCAAGAUCAGUACAGGAGUUCGUUUUUGUUGCCCAGUAAUGUUUAUUGAGAACAAAAUUGGUUGCCAUGAACUGUUGUGCAUAUUUUAUUUUGGCACAUAAGGGCUGCAAAUAAAUAUUAGCGUUCAAUUAAAUGUAAGUAUCCUUUUCCAUUUAUCCAUUUAAGGUCAACCAAAAUCAAACCAAAAUCAUCCAUAUUUAUUUAAAAUGUGUUUCUGGCCUUAUUAUACAUCAUUCAUCAGUAAAUUAUUACAGAGAAAAACAUGUGUAUCUUUAUAAUGUCAUUGUGAAGGAAAAGAUCAAGUCCUUACUCUCGGAAUGUCUUGUUUCACUCAAAAAUACCAAAGUAAAAAAUGCAAUUAUUUCCAAUCUCGCUUUUGAUUCCUCAUAACAAUACCUGUCCCUUAAAUGUCCCAUUAAUGACUAUUUUAGUACUUUUAUGAAAAAAAAAAAUCUGAAAAGAAAAGAAAUUCAAAUUCAUUGGCAAAUGAAGAGAAAAGUCUGAUCUUUAACUAAUAUGAAACUACACAUUGUCAUAUAGACAGUA
rnacentral:lncRNA from 1 species